rnacentral:rRNA from 1 species
GCACUGUCUCAACGAGAGACUCGGUGAAAUCAUAGUACCUGUGAAGAUGCAGGUUACCCGCGACAGGACGGAAAGACCCCGUGGAGCUUUACUGUAGCCUGAUAUUGAAAUUCGGCACAGCUUGUACAGGAUAGGUAGGAGCCUUUGAAACGUGAGCGCUAGCUUACGUGGAGGCGCUGGUGGGAUACUACCCUAGCUGUGUUGGCUUUCUAACCCGCACCACUUAUCGUGGUGGGAGACAGUGUCAGGCGGGCAGUUUGACUGGGGCGGUCGCCUCCUAAAAGGUAACGGAGGCGCUCAAAGGUUCCCUCAGAAUGGUUGGAAAUCAUUCAUAGAGUGUAAAGGCAUAAGGGAGCUUGACUGCGAGACCUACAAGUCGAGCAGGGUCGAAAGACGGACUUAGUGAUCCGGUGGUUCCGCAUGGAAGGGCCAUCGCUCAACGGAUAAAAGCUACCCCGGGGAUAACAGGCUUAUCUCCCC